UGUUUCGCGGCAGAUUUGAUUGUUUGUUUAUUUCCUAGCUGUGCUCAAGUUUGGUUGAAUAAGUCGUAAGAAUAGAAUGCCAGGAUGAAAUACAUAUGGCACACUGCUCAGUAUUGUCGAGUUGAAGAUUUCUCAAGUUGUCCUGUUCAAAACACAAGAGAAGGAGAAGAUGGCAUCAGCCAAGACAAUUGAACAAGACUGAAAAAACCACUGAGAAGAGACUGCAAAAUGGUGCAUCCAAGAAGUGAAAGUAGAAUGAGAGGAAGGAACAAGAAGAGCUAAAGUAUGGCCACCCCUGGAUGGAAUUGUGAGGAAAGUUUACGGGGACAUCAGUUUGAUUGUAGUAGUUUGACUUGUGCACACUAUGAAGCCUGCCAAAUGAUAUUCAUUAGCUGAUUGACAAGACAUAAAAGAAUGAGAUGAAUGGCAUAGUAACCUAACAGGUCCGUGAAAUGUACAGUAGAAUUUAAAAUGUCAGAAAACAAUGCUGCUAGAGGAAGAAGAAAAAUAAUGUUUGAUUUCAUUUACAAACUAAUCUUACAUCAGACUACACUAAAGAGAAAGGAUGUACUUGUCAGGAAUCUGUCAACUUGGAUAACAAGGGGAAAGGAUAUACUGGGUCAAAUAGGUUUAAAACUGGGUACAAACCUUUCAAAGUUGAACGAGUUUUUAGAAAUUUCCAACAUGGUCGCCGACGAGAGAUUACUACACUCGCAAAGAAAUAUGGGAAAUUUGGAGGGUCGUACUUCCAGAAUAAAUCAAAGAUGGAAAAAAUGAUGUAAUGAACAUCACAGAUCAUUUGAACUCCAACUACAAUAUUGCAGGAAAAAAGUUCUGAAAAAUGAAGACUUAAUCAGACAGGUACUCCCAAGAUAAUACAAUCGGGUGCUGUGUCACUGAUAAUUAAGCGACCAAGGCACCUGUUGAAGUCGAGGUAAUUUUGAGAGCUUUUAGCUAACUGCAAAGGGAAGUUAUCAAAAAUAAGGGAAAACAUGUGGAUGAUGACAAACUUACAGAGAGGGUGCUUUUUCAACACGCGCCAAUCCUGUUUUACAAAGAGGAUGGGUGCAAGCUUUCGAUAUGUUAGUGAUUUUUCACCCACUUGCAAACAUAACUAAUUUUUCAUAAGAAUGGGUUUCAGUUAGACAUAUUUUUUAAGUGAAAUGGUUAACGUCGGUGUAGUUUCUCUUUCAGUGUUUUUUAAUUUGGAGUAACCUGCACGGACUAGUGUUGAUUGUAGUAAUAUCUUCAUACCGCCUCCUGCGCCAGUUUAUGAUAAAACCAAAGGCCCAUUACUUGGCGCGUUCAACUCCCCGACUGAGCCUAUGUCACGGCAUUUUCAAAGAGUGGUUUAUUUUUAGACUAUCUUUUCUCGGGAAAUGGGCUACUCGAGCUCUCGUAGUUAUGCGUCAAGUUAGAAAUUAACUAUGCACUCAUCGUGAUUGGUCGAAGGGUUUCCGUGGGGAAUCCCAUUUCGCGGUAAAUUCAAACUGAAAAUAUACUUAAGUAAUUAGAAUAUAUCAACAA